UACGUAGGGUGCGAGCGUUGUCCGGAAUUAUUGGGCGUAAAGAGCUCGUAGGCGGCUUGUUGCGUCUGCCGUGAAAACUCACAGCUCAACUGUGGGCGUGCGGGCGAUACGGGCAGACUGGAGUACUGCAGGGGAGACUGGAAUUCCUGGUGUAGCGGUGGAAUGCGCAGAUAUCAGGAGGAACACCGAUGGCGAAGGCAGAUCUCUGGGCCGUAACUGACGCUGAGGAGCGAAAGCAUGGGGAGCGAACAGG
rnacentral:rRNA from 1 species